UGGAAGCUCCGUGAGAGGGUUGUUUGGAUUGACAUUUUGGUUGAUGGUCACAUCAGGAUGACAUUGAUAGAGAGCUAUUAUUGAAUUGUGGAUUGAACCCUCUCUAUCACUCGAGAUGAGCUCGGUGACUAUGGACACCCGGAGCAUCCGAUACUAAGGAAGGCAUCGAGGAUGAGAAUUUUGAGUGGAGCUUCUUGAGCAACUGAGCGGUUAAUGUUAUGAGAUUUCCUACUGAAGAUAAGCCCUUGGCUAAGGCUUACGAAGAGUUUAUUUGAGACAUUGAGUUGAGACUAAGGGAAUGACCUUAGUGGAAUGGAGAAGCUUCUGAACUUUGGUCCAUGACCAUAUUCAUAGUAGAGGAUUUGAGAGCGCUACCCGGGUGGUGAAGUGAGAUUGACGUGGAGGCAUUGUGAUGCAAUGCCGAUUGAGGAAUCAAGUAGCCACCUUUGGUAAGCAAAUUUGGAUGAUUCGUUGGUUUCCGUUGCUAUCGGAAGGAUUGUUGUCGUGGAUGUUAUUUAUGGAGCCGUUCGUGCUAAGCGAGUUCGGAAUGGUAGCCAUGUGGAAAUUACACCAUACUUAACUAUGGAAUAGAGUUGCACCCUGUUGUGCAAUUUCGUGUCGGAAUUUGAUAUUGGGUUGCGAGAUCAUCGUUGGGAUUUGAGUCAACGAUUCGAUGCUAUCUCACCUCUCUUUGGUGAGUGAUAUUCACGUGAGUACUCCGG
rnacentral:lncRNA from 1 species